AGGAAGUUGAGCCAGUGAGUGAGGAUGAAGCAGCAAGGCAUUUGCCUCCUGAAAAUGCACAUUAGACCCUGUCUCCAUCCAUCAUUUUGAGAUCCAUCUUCUUUCCACUUAAAAAAAGCUUAGCAGAAGCAAUUAAAUACUAUUACAUUGAACAUUUAGGGUGAAAAAGAACCCUACAGAAAGUUAUGCCACCUGCUGAGAUCUGAUCUUUUUUACUGGUCAUGGAGGGUGAAGCAAUGAAAGAAGUUUGUCUUCUCUGGAAGUACUGAAUGCAUGGGAAAAAAUGAGAAGAAAUCUUCUUGUAGUGAGUCAGCCCAUCCACCAUGUCCCUUUCUUUGCUCUUCAGACUCAUAGACAGGAACAUGAGGCCCCAGAUACAAAAUACAGCUGGAAAGAAUGGAAGAAUGAGCUGGAGUGCAAAGUCUGACAAAAGCUGAGCUGGCUGGAAAAGUGACUCCCUUAUUGUUCAGUGUUGUUUGGCAAAGCUAACAGGCACAGAGAAGAAUGUAAGCUGCAAGCAAACAAAACUGUCAAAGGCAUCAUUCUGACUUGGAGCAAAGAUGAAGAAAAUAAAGUAGUUUGGAAACAAUGAGGGAAGCAAAUGCCCCCAACUCUCAAACCAUCAGAAUAAACCAGGACUUCACUGGAAUAAACACACUUCACUCAUGCCAUCAAAAUUUCUUUUACAAAUAACUCUGCAAAGCUGUAAAUA